CAGCAGCCGCGGUAAUACGAAGGGGGCUAGCGUUGUUCGGAUUUACUGGGCGUAAAGCGCACGUAGGCGGAUCGAUCAGUCAGGGGUGAAAUCCCAGAGCUCAACUCUGGAACUGCCUUUGAUACUGUUUGGCUUGAGUUCGGGAGAGGUGAGUGGAAUUCCCAGUGUAGAGGUGAAAUUCGUAGAUAUUGGGAAGAACACCAGUGGCGAAGGCGGCUCACUGGACCGACACUGACGCUGAGGCGCGAAAGCGUGGGAGCAAACAGGAUUAGAUACCCGAGUAGUCCCUGUCUCUUAUACA
rnacentral:rRNA from 1 species